CGGAGGGUGCGAGCGUUGUCCGGAAUCACUGGGCGUAAAGGGCGCGUAGGUGGCUUGGUAAGCGUGUGGUGAAAGCCUGGGGCUCAACCCCGGGUCGGCCAUGCGAACUGCCGAGCUUGAGCACUGUAGAGGCAGACGGAAUUCCGGGUGUAGCGGUGGAAUGCGUAGAGAUCCGGAAGAACACCGGUGGCGAAGGCGGUCUGCUGGGCAGUUGCUGACACUGAGGCGCGACAGCGUGGGAGCAAACAGGAUU
rnacentral:rRNA from 1 species